rnacentral:rRNA from 1 species
UGGGGAAUUUUGCACAAUGUGGGAAACCCUGAUGCAGCGACGCCGCGUGAUUUAGAAGGCCUUCGGGUUGUAAAAAUCUUUUCUAUGGGAAGAAAAUGACAGUACCAUAGGAAUAAGGACCGGCUAAUUACGUGCCAGCAGCCGCGGUAAUACGUAAGGUCCGAGCGUUGUCCGGAAUCAUUGGGCGUAAAGGGUACGUAGGCGGGUAAGCAAGUUAGAAGUGAAAUCCUAUAGCUCAACUAUAGUAAGCUUUUAAAACUGCUCAUCUUGAGGUAUGGAAGGGAAAGUGGAAUUCCUAGUGUAGCGGUGAAAUGCGCAGAUAUUAGGAGGAAUACCGGUGGCGAAGGCGACUUUCUGGCCAUAUACUGACGCUGAGGUACGAAAGCGUGGGUAGCAAACAGG